rnacentral:tRNA from 1 species
UGGGGAUGUAGCUCAGUGGUGUAGCAUUUGCCUAGCAUACCAGAGGACCUGGGUUCAAUCCCCAGUACCUAG